UACGUAGGGGGCGAGCGUUGUCCGGAUUCAUUGGGCGUAAAGGGCGCGUAGGCGGCUACGUAAGUCGGAUGUGAAAACUCCAGGCUCAACUUGGAGACGCCAUUCGAUACUGCGUUGGCUUGAGUUCGGUAGGGGAUCACGGAAUAUCUGGUGUAGCGGUGAAAUGCGCAGAUAUCAGGUGGAACACCGGUGGCGAAGGCGGUGAUCUGGGCCGACACUGACGCUGAUGCGCGAAAGCGUGGGGAGCGAACAGG
rnacentral:rRNA from 1 species